rnacentral:rRNA from 1 species
CUCCCCUUUUUUUACAAAAACAUCUUUUCUUGUUAGUCUCUGAAGUAUGGCCUGCCCGCUGACGUAUAUUUGAGUUGAAGGGCCGCGGUAUUUUGACCGUGCAAAGGUAGCAUAGUCAUUAGUUCUUUAAUUGUGAUCUGGUAUGAAUGGCUUGACGAGACAUGGGCUGUCUUGGUUAUGGAUUUAUUGUUGAAUUUGGAGUUUAAGUUAAAAUUCUUAGAUGUUUUUAUGGGACGAGAAGACCCUAUAGAGUUUGACAUUUGAUUGCGUAUUUCUCAUUGUUUGUUUUGAAUUUUUGCGUAUCUUUUGUUUUGUUGGGGUGAUGGGAGGAAAUUAUUUAACUCCUCUUUUAUGUGGUAUAUUGAUUUAUAUUUAUUUUGAUCCAUUUAUUUUGAUUGUAAGAUUAAAUUACCUUAGGGAUAACAGCGUUAUCUCCCCUGAGAGUUCUUAUUGGCGGGGGGGUUUGCGACCUCGAUGUUGGAUUAAGGUUAAUUUUUGGUGUAGGAGCUGAAUUGAUUGGGUCUGUUCGACCUUUAAAAUCUUACGUGAUCUGAUUCCAGACCGGG